CGAUCAGGAGCUCCCAAAGGAGCCAAACCCUAGCUCAAGCUUAUAUGAUCAAAUUGAAGGGUAAAUCGAAGCUCAAAAUCAUGAAUAAACACGGAUUAAUGAUCACCAUCACAAGAGGAUCAUAAGGAUAGGAAUCACAUUAGCAUGGACUCAAGAACGGAAGGUUAACGGGUCAAGUGGAGGCGAGGAAUCAAGCAUGAACACUAACGCUUAAGGUUGUACAAAUCACAGAUUAUCACCAUGAGGUGUAGCGAUCAAAGACCGAGUCACGAGAUAGAUUGUACGGGAAUGCUUGAUUAUGUAAAAUGAUAGUUAUAAGUUAUGCUUUUAUUUUGUAAAUGAGUACAAAAGAUGCAUAUAUUGUAAGAAGGUAUUUUAUAAUGAACUUGCAAGUAGGUCAAAACGUUUUUAAUGAAAGAAAUUUUU